AGUGAACGCUGGCGGUAGGCCUAACACAUGCAAGUCGAACGGCAGCACAGUAAGAUCUUGCUCUUACGGGUGGCGAGUGGCGGACGGGUGAGGAAUACAUCGGAAUCUACUUUUUCGUGGGGGAUAACGUAGGGAAACUUACGCUAAUACCGCAUACGACCUACGGGUGAAAGCAGGGGAUCUUCGGACCUUGCGCGAUUGAAUGAGCCGAUGUCGGAUUAGCUAGUUGGCGGGGUAAAGGCCCACCAAGGCGACGAUCCGUAGCUGGUCUGAGAGGAUGAUCAGCCACACUGGAACUGAGACACGGUCCAGACUCCUACGGGAGGCAGCAGUGGGGAAUAUUGGACAAUGGGCGCAAGCCUGAUCCAGCCAUACCGCGUGGGUGAAGAAGGCCUUCGGGUUGUAAAGCCCUUUUGUUGGGAAAGAAAAGCAGCAGGUUAAUACCCCGCUGUUCUGACGGUACCCAAAGAAUAAGCACCGGCUAACUUCGCG
rnacentral:rRNA from 1 species